rnacentral:rRNA from 1 species
AUUGAACGCUGGCGGCAGGCCUAACACAUGCAAGUCGAGCGGAUGACGGGAGCUUGCUCCUUGAUUCAGCGGCGGACGGGUGAGUAAUGCCUAGGAAUCUGCCUGUUAGUGGGGGAUAACUCGGGGAAACUCGGGCUAAUACCGCAUACGUUCUACGGGAGAAAGUGGGGGAUCUUCGGACCUCACGCUAACAGAUGAGACUAGGUCGGAUUAGCUAGUAGGUGAGGUAAUGGCUCACCUAGGCGACGAUCCGUAACUGGUCUGAGAGGAUGAUCAGUCACACUGGAACUGAGACACGGUCCAGACUCCUACGGGAGGCAGCAGUGGGGAAUAUUGGACAAUGGGCGAAAGCCUGAUCCAGCCAUGCCGCGUGUGUGAAGAAGGUCUUCGGAUUGUAAAGCACUUUAAGUUGGGAGGAAGGGUAUUCACCUAAUACGUGGGUACUUUGACGUUACCAACAGAAUAAGCACCGGCUAACUCUGUGCCAGCCGCCGCAGUAACAC